GGGGGUGCACCGGUUUCGACUGGUACGUCUUCGGGGUAUAGACUGCAGAUGGAGCGCUCAUCUCCUGAUUGGGCAAAAAAUUUAACUGCCAACAAAACUGUCAGUUACGACUACGCCUUAGCUGCGUAAUCGCGUGGAACUGCUGCGCCGCUCUGAGGAGCAGAUUCCGCGUCGCAAACAGAGCUGGUCAUUCCGCCGCUUCCGGAGACGGAUUGACAAGAUUUCCCGGAAUACGGACAGGCCGCGCGCCGUUUAGCCAAGCCUGCCCCGACAAUAUAAUAAACGGCUAAAUCUGUAGAUGUUUAUGCUUCGCGUAUUGGGACGCGGGUUCGACUCCCGCCACCUCCAUUU
rnacentral:tmRNA from 1 species